UGCAGAAUCCCGUGAACCAUCGUUUUUGAACGCAAGUUGCGCCCAAAGCCAUUAGGCCGAGGGCACGUCUGCCUGGGCGUCACGC
rnacentral:rRNA from 1 species